GGCACAGAGGACAACCUAUGCAACAAAAGCUUGCUGCAGAGCCCAGCGACUGUCCGACCACUCAGCGGACACACACACGGAGACAGUGACUGACACGACCCGGCGAGGUACGACUGCAGGGCCAGCGUUAGAUUGCCGCCAGGACCAAAAAACGACGUCUCAGCGACAUUUAUGAAGCUUUCAAGGCCUUUUGAUUGAUCAGCCAAUCGAUGGGGAUUUUACGAGGAGCUCCGCCCACCUUCGCUGCCUGCCCUCCUUCUCCCCCCUCCACCUGCGGCCCCUCCCUCGCCCCAGCCCACUCCGUCAUCCAGCCCUCCAUCCAGCCCUCCAUACACAAAAUGACUCUGGAAUUUACUGAAUGGUCUUCUAUAUGGAUUUUUACUGCUUGUAAUAGACAGUAAACAAAGAAAAGAGGGAGAAACCUCAAUGACAAAUAAGCCAUAAACACACACACACCACACAUACACACUCACACACACACACACACACACACACACACACACACACACACACACACACACACACACACACACACACACACACACACACACACACACACACACACACAAACACAUGCACACCCCAUUCACACACUAACAUUAGGCAUGUAAACACUGACAUACCAAAUAGAGUUGUUUUUGUCAGGCAGGAUCUCGCACACCUGACACACACAAAAAGAAGCAAACGCACAAACUUACUCCUGGAAUGUAUCGCACACUGUUCCUGUGAAAAUUCAACCGCUUCCUUUUAUUUCUGGGGUUUUCUACAAGCCUUUGGAAAGCUGAUUUUAAUAUUUUUUUCGACUCUGGGGGGAAAACAAGGAGGCGGGAGAGAGGAUUAAAACGUUUUGCAUUUCAAGCUGCAGUGUUUUUGAAGGACAAGUUCUC